ensembl:lncRNA
AGAAUGUGUAUACAUCCUUGUAAGUCGCUUUGGAUAAAAGCGUCUGCUAAAUGACUAAAUGUAAAUGUAUGUCUUAUUUGUAUGUUGUAUGUCGUAUGUCGUAUGUCGUAUGUCUUAUGUCGUAUGUCGUAUGUCGUAUGUCUUAUGCCUUAUGUCGUUUGUCGUAUGUUGUGUGUCUCACGGACUGAGGAAUAACUUCAUGAUCCUGCUCAUUGUGAAAUGGUCACAUUUAAUGAACAACCUUUCAUUUUAUAUACAUCUAUAAAAGGGACCCCGGUACAGGUUACAAGAAUCUAAAGCUAAUACAUACAUUAUUAAAUAAUAAACUUUUUUCAUGUUAAAGAUACAUAUCAUAGUUUACAAAAUAUGAUCAGGGAGAAUUAAGCAGUUAUGAAUGUUUGAAAAAAAAAAAAAACUAUAUGUAUAUUUUGUUCAGCAAUAAACAAAACAUAAAGCACAACCAUAUUUCGUUGAAUAACAUAAUAUUAAAUUGGGAUAUUGACUAUUAAAAUGUAAACUGCAAACACAUGUUUGAAGGCAAUGGAGCAUUGGUGCACAGAGCAUACAGAGCAAAGGGUCAGCAAAUACAGCUCUCUCACACUGUGUGUGUGUGUGUGUGUGUGUGUGUGUGUACAUGAGGGUGGUGUGGUGUGUGUGUGUGUGUGUGUGUGUGUGUGUACAUGAGUGUGUGUGCGUGUGUGUGUGUACAUGAGAGUGUGUGUGUGUGUGUGUGUACAUGAGAGUGUGUGUGUGUGUGUACAUGAGUGUGUGUGUGUGUGUGUGUGUGUGUGUGUGUGUGUGUGUGUGUGGUGUGUGUGUGUGUACAUGAGUGUGUGUGUGUGUGUGUGUGUGGAUGUGUGUGUGAGUUAGUUUUCUGUCUUUGAGUGGAUCCAUCACUCCACGGCGUUAGUCUUCUGUCUUUGCUUUAUUAUUUUUAUUAUUCUGCUCACUGUAUGUCAUCGGUCCACAGACAGAAAGAGCUGUGUGUGUGUGUGUGUGUGUGAGUGUGUGUGUGUGUGUGUAUGUGUGCACAGACACAGGCUUCGGGAAGCUAGGGAUUGCAGGAAAAACUUUCUUCUCUUUUUUUUCACGUCUUUUCCCAGAACAAGUCUUUGGCAUGAUGAGUUAGCUGUAUGUUGCUGACAACAAGAUGGCGACCGAAACGACGUUGGCAAACUGCAGGAUGAAUUUUCAAGGGAUUCCAAAAAAAAAAUCAUCAAUUAAAAAUGAAAUGAAUGAAAAGUUGUUGUUGUGCUGCUGGGCAGAAAAUGUCUUUAAGUCACGUCCCCAAAUCUUCAGAUUCCCUGUGUGUGUGUGUGUGUGUGUGUGUGUGUGUGUGUGUGUGUGUG